GUUUACCAAAAACAUGGCUUCUUGUAAUACAUAAAAUAAGGAGUCGGACCUGCCCAGUGAGAUUUUUAACGGCCGCGGUACUCUGACCGUGCAAAGGUAGCAUAAUCAUUUGCCUUAUAAUUGAAGGCUAGUAUGAACGGUUUGACAAGAAUAUAGCUGUCUCUUUAUAAUUAUAUAAAAUUUUAUUUUAAGGUGAAGAAGCCUUAGUAAAAUUAAAAGACAAGAAGACCCUAUCGAGCUUUAAAGAAAUUAAUAGAAAUUAAUUAAUAUAGCUUAAAAAAUUAGCUAUUAAAUAUUUUAGUUGGGGCGACUAAGGAACAAAUAAAGCUUCCUUUAUAUAUUUAUAUACAUACAAGUACUGAUCCAAAAAAUUUUGAUUAAAGAAAUUAGUUACCGUAGGGAUAACAGCAUUAUCUUUUUUGAGAGUCCCUAUCGAAAAAAAGGUUUGUGACCUCGAUGUUGGACCAGAAUACCCCAAAGAUGCAGAAGUCUUUAAAGGUUGGUCUGUUCGACCAUUAAAAUUCUACGUGAUCUGAGUUCAGACCGG
rnacentral:rRNA from 2 species